UGCUUGACAGCGAUGGCUAUGACAGCUUGAAAUACAUAGGUGAGCUGGCUUUUUGUAUUGCAUUGUGAUUUCAUUUGUUUUCUGAAAAACACGUGGAAAAAUAUUAAUCACACAACGUCUUGCUUACAGGAGCAUUACAGUUCUGCCCACCAGAGGUCUUCUCGAAGCCCAAAUACUACGCCGUCCCAACAAACGUCUGGGCUCUAGGUGUUACGCUGUAUAUGAUGGUGAACGUAAAGCUGCCUUUUACCAGCGUCAAGGAAAUAUUGGAAGCCUGUCCUUACACUUGGAAAGCUGACGUAUCCAUCGGUGAGCAAACAGACACUGAUUUACCUCUCAUUAUAGCUUUAUCAGAUACUUCAGAAGGUAUUUUCACACGUCAGCUCUGGUGUGUUACGUGGUCUUGACUAACCAUCGCUCUCCUCCAAACUUUUACAGCAUGCUGUGAUCUGAUCUACCAGUGUCUGGACCCCAGUCCAGCGAAGCGGCCGGCGUUACAGCAGAUCUUACAGCACGAAUGGUUUAAAAGUCAGGUCUAGGAUGAAGGCAUCUGGGUCAGACGGAAGGCAUUCUGGUCGGAUGUUGUUCAAGAAAUUAAUAACAUAUUGGGAAUCUCUCUGGACCUUGACCCACUGGUAUGUAUUUUAUGGAUUCUUUCAUACAACACCUGGAGCUCUUCUAAGAUUUAAUUGCUCAAAUACAUCUAAUGCCACUUCAGAUGCAGUUUCUGUGUUUCCUCAGCAGUGGAAAGAUGGAGUUUGUUCAUACUGAGUUCAUUUGAAUGGUAACAGCUCUACAGUUUCUUAUUAUUCUACCUGAAUUAAUUGAAACAAUGUAAGAAUUUGUUGUGAAAGAUGAGACAUUUAACAAUUGAAGAGGGAAAUGACAUGUUUUAUAUACAUCAACUCCUUUUCAGUUAAUUGUUAUUUCUACCUCUUUCCAGUCACAGAGCUCCUUAUUUUUAGAGUUGUUUAAGUGAGAGAACAUCUGUAACUUAGUCCAGAUUGGGGGAAUUGUAAUGUUUAAUAUUUUUUAUUAUGUAAAUAAUUUUUUUGCAUUGAAGAAAAAAGUAAAGAUUUUUGUUAUGCUGUCAAUUAUAGUUCUUAGAAAGAAAAUCGUAAUCGGCAAAAAUCGGUAUCGGCGGGUCAAACGGAAAUCGGAAUUGGACAAGAAAAUUGCAAUCGGUGCAUCUCUAGUUUAAAAAAAAAAUUUGAUGGUUCUACAUCUGUACAAAGACAGGCAUAGUCAUUAAAAUGGUAAAGUUUGAAAAUUGAUGGAUAUUAAUUACAGUAUAUGGCUAUGUUUAAAGUCUAUUUAUAAAUAAUAUUAAUGGCUAAUUCUUGCCAUUGUGACUCUCGUCCUGUAAUACUCUCUCAAAGCAGUUGUUCCUGUGUUGCUGCUGAAUUGACCUACUAUAGUAAGAAUAUCAGUUUUUCUAAAAUUAUUGUUGGAAUAAUCAUAUUAUUACUAUUAUUAUUAUUAACAUGUCCCCUGUGUAUCUCUAGGGAGUCAAGCCAGGUUCUGUCAAUAGAAUGGUGAUUCUGUCAAUGAAACUCGCUGAGGGAUUAAGGAGUACGCUUUACAAGGGUGUCACCAGUGAGCUGCCUGAGUAAACAUGAACAACUACACGAGGUCAUUGACAGUAACUUUGGAAAUGGCUCACAAUAUCGAGCAAGCCACCAAAGACCAGAGCGCAUCCCUUGAUUGGCAUUCUGUCAGAAAACCACGGGUAACAUCAUCUUGUUUAGGGAGGUUUGUCAUGUGUGGCCAGAGCUCAGCUGAACACCUGGCUGAAAGAGUUUACGGAGGAACUCGCCAGACAGCAGACAUGAAGAGAGGCCUCGAAAUGAAAUCUGCAGCGGUGGAGGAAUACUGUCUCCUGGACUACUGAAUACUGGACUCUUUUGUUUUAACGGUUAAAUUACAUUUUAUAAAAUAAUGUGUCUAAUGUCUAAUUAAAAUCAUGAAACUUAUACAAUUGAACAUCAAUUUAUUAAAAGUUGAACAUGGGCCAGUGAGCCAUUUUUUAAAUUUAUUUGAUAAUUAUAUUAAACACACUAUGAUUAUUAUAAUUACAAUAACAAUUGUUGCAAUA